rnacentral:rRNA from 1 species
GAUGAACGCUGGCGGCGUGCCUAAUACAUGCAAGUCGAGCGAACGGACGAGAAGCUUGCUUCUCUGAUGUUAGCGGCGGACGGGUGAGUAACACGUGGAUAACCUACCUAUAAGACUGGGAUAACUUCGGGAAACCGGAGCUAAUACCGGAUAAUAUUUUGAACCGCAUGGUUCAAAAGUGAAAGACGGUCUUGCUGUCACUUAUAGAUGGAUCCGCGCUGCAUUAGCUAGUUGGUAAGGUAACGGCUUACCAAGGCAACGAUGCAUAGCCGACCUGAGAGGGUGAUAGGCCACACUGGAACUGAGACACGGCCCAGACUCCUAAGGGAGGCAGCAGUAGGGAAUCUUCCGCAAUGGGCGAAAGCCUGACGGAGCAACGCCGCGUGAGUGAUGAAGGUCUUCGGAUCGUAAAACUCUGUUAUUAGGGAAGAACAUAUGUGUAAGUAACUGUGCACAUCUUGACGGUACCUAAUCAGAAAGCCACGGCUAACUACGUG